rnacentral:lncRNA from 1 species
CUGAAACCCAUGUACACACCCCUUCCGUGACCCCAGAGUGCCAUGUGCUCUGAAAAGCUCACUGGCUUCUGGAAGAGAGGAUAAUGGAUAUUGGGGGCAACUAGCAAUCUCUGCCACUGGAACACAAUCUCCCCUCCCCCCCAGGACUAUGGUGAACCAAGGUCAAGGCAAUGGCAGACUGCAAGGGGAGGAGAGAGGUGAUCUGGCAAGUAGUCUGAGGAGGCUGCCUGGGGGAGGCAACAUCUGGGCCAAGCCUUGAAGGACAACUAGAGUUUGGGAAGCCGAGAUGGAAAAGAGUUCCAGAAAAGGUGGUGGACUAGCCAAUGGAGCAAGUGUGGAGAAAUUAUGGUUCAGUGUGAAGAGCCUGGCUUUGCAGCCAGAAGACCCAGGUCCAAGUCCUGACACAGUCGGCGGAGCAAGGCGCCCGCUUCCCCAAGCCUCGGCUGACCCCUCGUUGAAAGGCUGAUGGCCACAGCUCCUCGAAGGCCUGCGGGGGGCAGCGGCCGUGGAAGGGCCUGGCAUUCGAUGGGGUUGUGGCGGAUGUUCCCAUGGCUGGAGCGCGGGGUCAGGGUUGGGCAGGGGCAGGAGGCGGAGGCCCCACCUGGCGGCCUCGAAGGCCAGGCCAAGCGGUUUGGAUGUGGCUCAGAAGCUGUGGGCAGCUGCUUGGCAGGGCAGCAUCCUGAGAGGAGAGUGGCUUUUCAAACACGACUCUGGAAGAUGGAGAGGAGGAGGUCCUCCGUGAGCCCAGAGGUUGCAAGCAGACCCGGAACGAGCACGGCUUCAAUGAGCCCGUGCAUUGGAGCCACUUUCUUUCAGCGCCUCUGCCAUCCCUGUAAGAUCAGGCAGGGCGAGCCUGCAAGGGAGGAGGGACACAGGAGCAGAGCGGAGCUGCCAUCCCAGCCAGGGCCGUCCCAGGUCAGCUGACACCAGCCUACCCCUGGCAUGCCAGGGAGCCCACCACGAUCAGCAGGGCCCUGGACGCAGACCCGCUGAACCCCACGGCCCGUGAGAAACAGCGCCUCAUGUUGUGUGAUUAUUCGCCACCCAGCGUUACUGUGGCAAUAGUGGCCAAGAGAGUCCCUAACUCACCGGGUGACAGUGCCGGCUCUGAG